rnacentral:rRNA from 1 species
AAGCGGGAAGCCUGCUUCAAGAUGAGGUCUCCCAUCCGUUAUGGAGUAAGGCCCCCGACCAGACGAUCGGGUUGAUAGGCCGGAUGUGGAAGUGCGGCAACGCAUGGAGCUGACCGGUACUAAUAGGCCGAGGACUUGACCACAA